rnacentral:rRNA from 1 species
CAGUUUGAUUCUGACUGAGAAAUUAACUAUUUGCCAACCAAAAUACAUGUAAAACAUAUUAAGCCCGCACUAACUAAUACCUAAAUGGUAUAAUAAAUGUAUUCAGAAUACCUCUAUACAGCAGAGCGCCACAGUAAAUAACACUUUUCAAUUUGAAAAAUCAAGAAAAGAGUAUGGUAUAAGGGCUGGCAAAAAUCGUGCCAGCUGCCGCGGUUAGACGAUAAGCCCAAGUUAAUAUAAUAUAAACUAAAUUAAUGAUAAAUUAAAAAAUAAUAAAAGUCUAAUUUUUAAAAUAUGGGUCUCACAUCUAUCAAAUAAAAAAUGAAAUCAUGAACUAAAACAUGGAUUAGAUACCCAUCUAUUCAUGGCAUAAAUUACAGUUGAGUAUUACGAACAACAGUUUAAAAUUCAAAGAUUUUGGCGGUGUCUUAUAAAACCAGGGGAACCUGUCUCAUAACUCGAUAAUCCACGUAUACCAAACCUUCUAUUGAAACCCAGCAUGUGUACUGCCGUUGUAAGCACACCUUUAAAAGAGCAGUAUGCUACUAUGAUUAAAUACUAACUCACAUACAUCAGGUCAAAGUGCAGCUAAUAAGAAGGUGAUGAUGGGUUACAACCCCAAAACAGACUAUAGACUAAGAAAUAAAAAAUCUUAAGAAAGUGGACUUGGCCGUAAUCAAUUUUAAAUUAAAGAAAUGAAUUCUACCUAAGACAUGUACACAUCGCCCGUCACUCUAUCCUAAAGGUUAGAUAAGUCGUAACAAAGUAGGUGUAAUGGAAAUUGCACCUGU